rnacentral:rRNA from 1 species
CGUCGACCGGCGCACGGGUGAGUAACGCGUAUCCAACCUGCCCUUUACUUGGGGAUAACCCGUUGAAAGACGGACUAAUACCCAAUGAUAUUCAUUGAUGACAUCUGAUUUGAAUUAAAGAUUUAUCGGUAUAGGAUGGGGAUGCGUCUGAUUAGCUUGUUGGUGAGGUAACGGCUCACCAAGGCAACGAUCAGUAGGGGUUCUGAGAGGAAGGUCCCCCACAUUGGAACUGAGACACGGUCCAAACUCCUACGGGAGGCAGCAGAA